rnacentral:lncRNA from 1 species
UCUAGUUGCUGGGACCACAGGCAUGCACCACCUUGCCAGGCUAUUAUUUUUAAGAUAUUUUUUGUAGAGUCUGUUGCUUGGCCUAGCUUAAUACACACUGUGCAGACCACAGUUUUGCCUAGAAAAUAGUGUUUUCUCAAUCCAGUCAAUUUCAUGCAGUAUUUUCAUGCUAAAAUGCAUUAGAUGUAUUUGAGUGAGACUCCAUCUCAAAAAAAAAUAAAAAUUUAAAAAUUUAAAAAAGAAAAUGAAAAAUAAAAAGAGAAGCUGAUGCAUAAAUGAUAACUGCUGAUCACUGUAGUUGCCUAAAUCCUAAUAAAGUGUUUAUCAGAGCAGGCUGACAGCUCAGACUGUCUGCAGAAUGCAUUCCCUUGCAGCUG